AGCAUGGCAAGUCGAGGGGCAGCACGUCUUCGGAUGGUGGCGACCGGCGCACGGGUGCGUAACGCGUAUACAAUCUACCUUGUAGAGGGGGAUAGCCCGGGGAAACCCGGAUUAACACCCCAUGGUACCAUGAAGCAGCAUUGUUUUUUGGUUAAACAUUUAUGGCUACAAGAUGAGUAUGCGUCCUAUUAGUUAGUUGGUGAGGUAACGGCUCACCAAGACGGCGAUAGGUAGGGGUCCUGAGAGGGAGAUCCCCCACACUGGUACUGAGACACGGACCAGACUCCUACGGGAGGCAGCAGUGAGGAAUAUUGGACAAUGGGCGGGAGCCUGAUCCAGCCAUGCCGCGUGCAGGAAGACUGCCCUAUGGGUUGUAAACUGCUUUUACAGAGGAAGAAACACCCCUUCGUGAAGGGGCUUGACGGUACUCUGCGAAUAAGGAUCGGCUAACUCCGUGCCAGCAGCCGCGGUAAUACGGAGGAUCCAAGCGUUAUCCGGAAUCAUUGGGUUUAAAGGGUCCGUAGGCGGGACAAUAAGUCAGUGGUGAAAGUCUGUGGCUCAACCAUAGAAUUGCCAUUGAUACUGUUGUCCUUGAGUUAUUGUGAAGUGGUUGGAAUAUGUAGUGUAGCGGUGAAAUGCAUAGAUAUUAUAUAGAACACCGAUUGCGAAGGCAGAUCACUAACAAUAUACUGACGCUGAUGGACGAAAGCGUAGGUAGCGAACAGGAUUAGAUACCCUGGUAGUCUACGCCGUAAACGAUGGUUACUAGCUGUUGGGGCGCAAGCCUCAGUGGCCAAGCGAAAGUGAUAAGUAACCCACCUGGGGAGUACGUUCGCAAAAAUGAAACUCAAAGGAAUUGACGGGGGCCCGCACAAGCGGUGGAGCAUGUGGUUUAAUUCGAUGAUACGCGAGGAACCUUACCAGGCUUAAUGUAGCUUGACAGGGGUGGAAACACCCCCUCCUUCGGGCAAGUUACAGUGCUGCAUGGUUGUCGUCAGCUCGUGCCGUGAGGUGUCAGGUUAAGUCCUAUAACGAGCGCAACCCCUGUUGUUAGUUGCCAGCGAG
rnacentral:rRNA from 1 species